UACGAAGGGGGCUAGCGUUGUCCGGAUUUAUUGGGCGUAAAGAGCGUGUAGGCGGCCAUACAGGUCCGUUGUGAAAACUCGAGGCUUAACCUCGAGACGUCGAUGGAAACCGUAUGGCUAGAGUCCGGAAGGGGAGAGUGGAAUUCCUGGUGUAGCGGUGAAAUGCGCAGAUAUCAGGAAGAACACCCGUGGCGAAGGCGGCUCUCUGGGACGGUACUGACGCUGAGACGCGAAAGCGUGGGGAGCGAACAGG
rnacentral:rRNA from 1 species